AUGCUAGGUUUAAAAAAGAAGAGAGAAAGUGUGGGAUGUUCUCGCUCCAUGAUGAUAAACGUUGUGGCUACUCAAGGCUAUUGCUGUGAUGAAUAUUUCAAUCAAUCUGGCACGGCGCCCUCCGCUCUCCAGAGUGAGGAGAGAGUUGACAGUUGGAUGAAGAAAGGCUUUGUGGAGGAAGUGUCAUCAGAGCUGACCUUCAGGAUCCAGGGUUACUGCGGGCCCUGUUGGGUAAGUUCUUACAGAAAGUGCAGAGGAAAUCAGGAUCAGAGGCGAAAGCAUGUGCGGGCAUCCCUGAGGAGGCCAACAGGUCUCGCAUCAGAGGGGUUCCUGGACAUCUCUGGGCCCAAGGAGAGCCUCCUCUAAAUCAGCUGUAUGAGGGGCCCCGAGGAAAGGAUUUUCCAGAGCCACUGCAGCCCUGGGGCAGAAGAAACACCCCUAGAUCCUGCUGUGCCACUCACACCUCCCCCCGCCGUGCUUUUCACAGGAAAAGGAGAACACAUGAAAAGAGGUAAAGAGAAAAUCAAAUAUAGAUUGAGGGUAAAACGUCUAGAACUGUAAAUCGUUCACUAAUACCUCCUUUCGAUGUCUUUUGCAUCAGAACAUAAAUACCAGUGGCAGGAAGUUUAUCUUCUGCGGAGUUGCUAAAACUACCCCAUAUGUAAUUAUAUAUUCGUACUGUAUUGGCUCAAAAUUGUGUGGAAUAAAGUGUAACCUAAAGAGAAGCCAAAAAUAGUUACUUGGUUUCCUUUGCCAAAUUUCCUUGAAAAAUGUAACUGCGUGAGAGUUUAAAAUUAGGUAAUCAGCUAACAAGUAUUUGUCGAGUAUCCUGAGCUGGGAGGCCUGUCAGCCUCCCUGGCAGGACGGGGACAGCCUUCCAGGCCUCACUGCCCACCGGAAGGGCACGGGGCCCAGGCCGGGUGGUUUCAUUGCCAUGACCGUCUUCUCAUCAGUCUGGUAGCCAAAAAGAAUGUAUUGGGGGCACGCUUGCUCUUCCAGGGUCUUUCUGGGUCCAUUAGUAAGACACCCAGAUGUGGUCUUCUCUUGAAAAACACGUCAUUCCCGUCAGUGGGCUGCGGCGGAGUGCGGCCUUCCCACGCUUCCCCAGCUGAGCCUGCCCUGCACCAGGCGUGGGGACCCGCACCACAUCUACAGGUGAGCUUCAUGCGUCUGCUUGUUACCGUGUGGUCUGGUUCCCCUCAGCCUCACUGGCCCAUCAGCAAGAGACAAGUCCCAUGAAACAUCGUAGCCCAAUUCUAACUGAAUAAAUGCACCUCCUGGUCCUCCGUAUUUUGGGGAGCAACUGUGGUGGCUCCCACUGAGGCCCACUAGAGGCCUUAGUUCUCCCCCGGGCCCUUCUUUGCUGCCUGCCUGUGGAUCCCCUGGGGACUGUGCCUCGGCGCCAUUACCACUGGGUCCCACAUCGGUGGUCUAUAUGCCCUCUCCAGAGGGCCCCAACGGAUGUAGAGAGAAAGUGGACUCCGGGGCUAAAAUGUGACAGACACAGCAUGUUCUCUGAGACGGAUGUGGGCUCUCCUCUGUCUUCUCCGUAAAAAGGCCCCUGGUGCAGGUCAACUCCGAGAAGGCCCUCCCACCCCUCAACCAGACGGGCUCCUGAAUUCUCCACAUGCUCUAAGCACCGAAGUAACCCAGGACCAUCGGCAAGGCAUGUGCCCUGGACCUUCAUUUCUUCAUCUGUAAAAUGUGACCUGCCCCUUUCCUGUCGGCCUGAGUGUCCGAGGCCAUCAUUGAACGCUGAGCUCUUUUUAAAAGCCCUAUAAUGACACUGAGUCGGAGACCACCAGGAGUCCAUUGCUUUGUUUUCUUUAAGACCAGAAUGGCAGACUUGUAGGAAAGGUCGGUUUUCUUUCCCUAAUUCAAUCUGGCUGGCCUAGUUUAGUCUUUUAAAAUAACAGAUUAACUUUAUAUGAAUUAUUUAUAUAUUUUACUAGUGUUUUGCCAAGAGACCUUAAAAUGUCGCAGAUCUUGAGGUUGGGUGUAUGAUGGUGGGUUGAACAGGUAGGUAGGCAAGCACUAGGGGAAAAGAGAAGAAAAUAAGAGGCUUCCCUCAUAAAAUAAAUCAAACCAUAUAGCCCCUAUACUGCCCAUAUGGAAUAUACUGGAUAUGUGCAAGUUAAUCGGCUCACUGGUUUGUGAAGCAAGGCCACAACAGGGACUAAUUGUGAGACUGGCAAACCCAAGAAGCAGAACCACCACUUCUCCUGUGCCUGUAGCCACAGCAGACGUUUCCAAAGGACGGUGUCACCUUCUCUAUCUGGGCUGGAAGUUGGCCUCACAUUUUUUUUGAUGGAGUGCUUUGAAAAUUUUUUAUUUUAAUUUUAAUUUUUUAAUGCUAGAAAUCUUAAAGAGUAUAGUUAGACC
rnacentral:lncRNA from 1 species